UACGAAGGGUGCAAACGUUGUUCGGAAUUACUGGGCGUAAAGGGCGCGUAGGCGCCUUCUAAGUCGAACGUGAAAUCCCCGGGCUCAACCCGGGAACUGCGUCCGAUACUGGAAGGCUUGAAUCCGGGAGAGGGAUGCGGAAUUCCAGGUGUAGCGGUGAAAUGCGUAGAUAUCUGGAGGAACACCGGUGGCGAAGGCGGCAUCCUGGACCGGCAUUGACGCUGAGGCGCGAAAGCCAGGGGAGCAAAGCGGG
rnacentral:rRNA from 1 species